rnacentral:rRNA from 1 species
UACAGAGGGUGCGAGCGUUGUCCGGAAUCACUGGGCGUAAAGGGCGCGUAGGUGGCGGCCCAAGUCCGUGGUGAAAGCUCGCCGCUUAACGGCGAGUCGGCCACGGAGACUGGGUGGCUCGAGCACUGUAGGGGCAGAUGGAAUUCCGGGUGUAGCGGUGGAAUGCGUAGAGAUCCGGAAGAACACCAGUGGCGAAGGCGGUCUGCUGGGCAGUUGCUGACACUGAGGCGCGAAAGCGUGGGGAGCAAACAGG